rnacentral:rRNA from 1 species
GCACAAGCGGUGGAGUAUGUGGUUUAAUUCGAUGCAACGCGAAGAACCUUACCUGGUCUUGACAUCCCGGAGACCCUUAGGAAACUAGGGGGUGCUUCCAUCUGGAAGAAUCUGGAGACAGGUGCUGCAUGGCUGUCGUCAGCUCGUGUCGUGAGAUGUUGGGUUAAGUCCCGCAACGAGCGCAACCCUUGCCUUAGUUGCCAGCAGUUCGGCUGGGCACUCUAAAGGGACUGCCGGUGUUAAACCGGAGGAAGGUGGGGAUGACGUCAAGUCCUCAUGGCCUUUAUGACCAGGGCUACACACGUACUACAAUGGCCGAUACAAAGGGCAGCGACACUGCGAGGUGAAGCCAAUCCCGUAAAAUCGGUCUCAGUCCGGAUUGGAGUCUGCAACUCGACUCCAUGAAGUUGGAAUCGCUAGUAAUCGUGGAUCAGCAUGCCACGGUGAAUACGUUCCCGGGCCUA